GAGGGUGUAGCUCAGUGGUAGAGCGUGUGCCUAGCAUGCACGAGGUCCUGGGUUCAAUCCCUGGUACCUCCA
rnacentral:tRNA from 1 species